rnacentral:rRNA from 1 species
CGACGUGAGGAACCUGCCUUUCAGAGGGGGACAACAGUUGGAAACGGCUGCUAAUACCGCAUAACGCAUGGGUAUCGCAUGGUAUCUGUGCCAAAGAUUUAUCGCUGAGAGAUGGCCUCGCGUCUGAUUAGCUAGUUGGUGAGGUAACGGCCCACCAAGGCGACGAUCAGUAGCCGGACUGAGAGGUUGGCCGGCCACAUUGGGACUGAGAUACGGCCCAGACUCCUACGGAAGGCAGCAG